rnacentral:scaRNA from 1 species
AAGUCUCCUUGUUAUGGGGCAGUGCAGCUGUAGGCCAAGCUAUAUCCGUUUGGGAAGGGAGAAAAAACAGUAGCUGGCAUCCAUAUCCACUUCUCCGGGUGAGUGGUGCUGGAGAGGUAUGUAGGACUCAAUGUGGCCAGCCACACAAA